GACGAACGCUGGCGGCGUGCUUAACACAUGCAAGUCGAGCGGAAAGGCCUUGCGGUUUCCCCGAGCGCGGUACGGGAGAGCGUGAGGAGGACGCUCGGAUCCUCACCUUGGGAUAAGGCUAAGAUCAUGGGACUACUGCCCGAACUGCCCACCUUUUGCUGCUUCGGUGGUGGCAAUAUUUAGCGGUGGCGGUUGAGGAUGGGCUCGCGGCGUAUGAGCUUGUUGGUGUGGUAAUGGAAUACCAAGGCUAGGACGGGUAGCCGACCUGAGAGGGUGACCGGCCACACUAGGACUGAGACACGGCCCAGACUCCUACGGGAGGCAGCAGUGGGGAAUAUUGCACAAUGGGCGAACGCCUGAUGCAGCGACGCCGCGUGCGGGAUGACGGCCUUCGGGUUGUAAACCACUUUCAGCAGAGACGAAGCGGAAGUGACGGUACCUGCUGAAGAAGCACCGGCUAACUACGUG
rnacentral:rRNA from 1 species